rnacentral:rRNA from 1 species
AUUGAACGCUGGCGGCAGGCUUAACACAUGCAAGUCGAGCGGGGUGAUGGUGCUUGCACUAUCACUUAGCGGCGGACGGGUGAGUAAUGCUUAGGAAUCUGCCUAUUAGUGGGGGACAACAUCUCGAAAGGGAUGCUAAUACCGCAUACGUCCUACGGGAGAAAGCAGGGGAUCACUUGUGACCUUGCGCUAAUAGAUGAGCCUAAGUCUGGAUUAGCUGGUUGGUGGGGUAAAGGCCUAGCAAGGCGACGAUCUGUAGCGGGUCAGAGAGGAUGAGCCGCCACAGUGGGACCGAGACACGGCCCAGACUCCUACGGGAGACAGCAGUUGUGAAUAUUGGACAAGUGGGGGAACCCUGAUCCAGCCAUGCCGCGUGUGUGAAGAAGGCCUUAUGGUUGUAAGGCACUUUAAGCGAGGAGGGGGCUCUUUUGGUUAAUACCCAAGAUGAGUGGACGUUACUCGCAGAAUAAGCACCGGCUAACUCUGUGCCAGCCGCCGCAGUAA